AGAUGUUUGGGAGUAGUGGACAGUGGUAGGAGACAAUACCACGUGAACGAUGAAGGUCUUCUGAUUGUAAAGUUCUUUUAUUUAGGAAAAAAAGCGCGCUAGGAAAUGAGCGCGCCUUGAUGGUACUAAUUGAAUAAGUGACAGCUAACUAUGUGCCAGCAGCUGCGGUAAAACAUAGGUCACGAGCAUUAUCCGGAUUUAUUGGACGUAAAGGAAGCGUAGGCGGGGAGGUUGAUCCAUUGUUAAAGGCAUUUGCUUAACAAAUGUGUGCGAUGGAGAUCGCCUCCCUAGAGUUAAUCAGGGGGUACUGGAAUUCAAUGUGUAGCGGUGGAAUGCGUAGAUAUAUUGAGGAACACCAGAGGCUAAGGCGAGUACCUAAGAUAUAACUGACGCUGAGGCUUGAAAGCGUGGGGAGCAAAUGGGAUUAGAUACCCCAGUAGUCCACGCCGUAAACGAUGGGCAUUAGGCAUUUGACAUUUAGUCGAGUGCUGUAGCUAACGCGUUAAAUGCCCCGCCUGGGUAGUAUAUAUGCAAAUAUGAAACUCAAAGAAAUUGACGGGGACCUGAACAAGUGGGGUGGAGACUC
rnacentral:misc_RNA from 1 species